UCACUCAAAGAUGAUCCCGCGUUGUAUUAGCUAGUUGGUGAGGUAAAGGCUCACCAAGGCGAUGAUACAUAGCCGACCUGAGAGGGUGAUCGGCCACAUUGGGACUGAGACACGGCCCAAACUCCUACGGGAGGCAGCAGUAGGGAAUCUUCGGCAAUGGACGAAAGUCUGACCGAGCAACGCCGCGUGAGUGAAGAAGGUUUUCGGAUCGUAAAACUCUGUUGUUGAAGAAGAACACGUUUGAGAGUAACUGUUCAGACGUUGACGGUAUUCAACCAGAAAGCCACGGCUAACUACGUGCCAGCAGCCGCGGUAAUACGUAGGUGGCAAGCGUUAUCCGGAUUUAUUGGGCGUAAAGCGAGCGCAGGCGGUUUUUUAAGUCUGAUGUGAAAGCCCUCGGCUUAACCGAGGAAGUGCAUCGGAAACUGGGAAACUUGAAUGCUGAAGAGGACAGUGGAACUCCAUGUGUAGCGGUGAAAUGCGUAGAUAUAUGGAAGAACACCAGUGGCGAAGGCGGCUGUCUGGUCAGUUAUUGACGCUGAGGCUCGAAAGCAUGGGUAGCGAACAGGAUUAGAUACCCUGGUAGUCCAUGCCGUAAACGAUGAAUACUAGGUGUUGGAGGGUUUCCGCCCUUCAGUGCCGCAGCUAACGCAUUAAGUAUUCCGCCUGGGGAGUACGACCGCAAGGUUGAAACUCAAAGGAAUUGACGGGGGCCCGCACAAGCGGUGGAGCAUGUGGUUUAAUUCGAAGCAACGCGAAGAACCUUACCAGGUCUUGACAUCUUCUGCUAUUUCUAGAGAUAGAAAGUUCCCUUUGGGGACGGAAUGACAGGUGGUGCAUGGUUGUCGUCAGCUCGUGUCGUGAGAUGUUGGGUUAAGUCCCGCAACGAGCGCAACCCUUAUGACUAGUUGCCAGCAUUAAGUUGGGCACUCUAGUAAGACUGCCGGUGACAAACCGGAGGAAGGUGGGGACGACGUCAAAUCGUCAUGCCCCUUAUGACCUGGGCUACACACGUGCUACAAUGGUUGGUACAACGAGUUGCGAACUCGCGAGGGUAAGCUAAUCUCUUAAAGCCAAUCUCAGUUCGGACUGUAGGCUGCAACUCGCCUACACGAAGUCGGAAUCGCUAGUAAUCGCGGAUCAGCAUGCCGCGGUGAAUACGUUCCCGGGCCUUGCACACACCGCCCGUCA
rnacentral:rRNA from 1 species